GACAGAGCACAAUUACUCUAGAGAAAGGGAAAGCAGAUGUUAGCAAGGUUCAUGAGUGCACCUGGCAGUGAAAAAAAGAGCAUAGUUAUGCGUAACACGACGGCUCUUCUAACCUGAAUGAACACAGUACACACAAAAGAGGCCACCAGUAACAGACAUGUAUUCUUUAUGAAGGAAAGUAGGAAAUCAUGAUUCGCUACAUGCUUUGAUGGAAACAUUGAUGUGCGCCAAAUACUUGGCUGCUCUUAUUGUAAUUUGUAAUUGUGAAUAGAAAGAUUUUCUCAACUUUCCAGUAUUCGGUGGUGACCAUCAAGAAGGUGCAGCAGCGUCGACAAAUGGAGUUCCUUCUGUAUCCGCUGGGCAGCGAUUGAUGUACCGACAACGGUGUCUGAACACCAAGCCGGAGUGCUGGCAAGGAAGGUGCCGUGGGGACCAUGUACCUGAGUGGGAGAGGUGGGAGCAGCUUCGAAGCAGUCUAUUUUUGAGAUACAAUUAGUGUGAGCAGAUGUGCUUUCGCCAAAAAACAACUCCUGACAAAUGGAACUUUGCGCUUAUGUACAGAGUCCUGUGCUACAUAUCACAAUGGAGCUAUUAUUUCUGCUGUGCCAUGUCCUCUUUGAUUGUUUGGAGGCUGACCUCCAGGAGGGUUUGCAACUUGCCCUUCGAUGGUCUCAUCUGCCGGCUCGUUUGGAGUGUGACAGCAGCGAUGCUACCAGGGCUGCUUCGCCUGACAGUUCUGUUCAUUUUCAUCAGAUUCAUCAAAUCCGGAAGCUUGUUGGAGAAAGGAAUUUUGUGGGUAGGAAUUUGUCUAGCUGUGAAAAUAUAACAUUCAGUUUGACUGACAUCUUGUUUGUGAUUUCGAUUUGUGAAUUAAGUGAUUUGUGUAAAGUGUAAACAUCCCACUUGGAUGCUGGUUGAAUCAUAUGAGGAUGAUAGUUCGUGUUAGGGCCUCUUUGGAUUGCAGGAAUUUAGAAACGUAGGAACAGAAAAAAAAAACAAAGGAUUGAGCUACCACA